UUUGGGACUUAGAGUAAAGAAUCUGCCUAUCACCUGGAUGAUGCCUGUCAGCUGAAACCUUUGCCUUGUACAAGAUCAUUUCAGGAGCUGAGACAUUGAAUACAUCCAGACUUGCUGCCAACGUACAAAGAAAAGAUUGUGCUCAGUAAUAUGCUAUUGACAAGAAUCAUACAGCACAGCACUGGCAAUCAGUGAAACACAACACUCAUCAUUGAACAAGAGGGGCUCAGAGCUACUCACAGACCUCAUCAGUACUAAGAAAAUUGGACAUGAGAACGAUAAGCCCUGUGAGCUGAUCUAUUCUUGAUUUUACAGAUCCCUCCAUUUCAUGUGUAUCAUCUGGAAACAGGUGAAAAAGUAGG
rnacentral:lncRNA from 1 species